CUAUUUGGCCCAACCCAUAUUAGAUUGUGUUAUAAAGACAUGGUAAAUUACAUCACGAAGGGAAGAGCAGAGGAAACAUAAUAUUCCUUCAAGACCCAUCAGCUCAGAUGUUAGCAGAACACCCCUAAGGAGGAAAACAAGAAAUUUUGGGUUUGAACUUGGUACUUCCCAGCAGCCCUGGGAGUGGGGUCAGAAGCCCUGCUGGGGGCCAAAGAACUCUGAGGAUCAAAGAUGUUGAGCAUCACCUUAGAGGCCAAAGAUCAGAACAGUGGAGGUGGCCUUUGAAGCCCAACCUGUCUUUCACCAGAGAGUGAGAACGGCCUCUAUUUCCAGGAAGCUCACUGCAGCAAUAAUCAUGAUGCUCUGAGCCUGACAAGGUGAGAAUUUACUUUCAGCACCUGCAAUAGUUUCCUAUUAAAGUUACAUAUGAAACCCUGCCGUCUUGUACCAACUAAUGUUCACACCAGCGUUCCUAUUUUCAAGAUAAAUUGCAAAAUAAAAACUCUUGUUUUCGUUAGCAAAAGAAAACUUCUUUAGGAGGAUAAAAGGGAGAUGAAGAAACAGAAAACACAUCAGCUCUCCAUCCAGAUUACAGAAAGCAGAAAACAUCCUGAAGUGAAUAACAUAGGAAUCGCUCUUUUUCCCCCCUGAGAUAGCAGGUUACUUAUGAGAAACAAGCUUGAAAUCUCUGCACCUGGACCAGCUUCCAGAGGCUUUUGUCCUGACCAGAUAUUUACUGAAUAACUAGAAGAUGCUAGAUGUUAUUCUAUUCAUUUUAUACCACUCUUCAAAUUACGGAUGUUUCCCCACCGAAACCGACCCUCACAAAAGAAAAACUAUCUGGGGCCUUGGAUCCUCUUUCAAAGGCUCAAGCUGGCUUUGGGGAAGUAAAGGAAACCAGAGAAGAAGAGGCUGAAAGAAUUGGUUUCCACCGUGACCUUUGAACCCUCGGGCGAGUUGUCAGCCUCACUGAGGAUGAGUGUACUCCAUAUCAAGUGAGGUCACUUUACUCGCAAGCUUGUUGUGAGGACUGAAUGAAACCUUUUCUUUUUUCUUGGAGUUUCAGAGCAACGUCCCUGAGCCCAGCCCCACACUGGCUUGAGCCCUGUCGUCGGUCAAGACACGGUGCUUUCUCCCCUCCCCUCUGCACUCCAGCUUACUCUGCAGUCAGGAGGUGGCACCACGAUCCCCUUUAAGACUUUGCCACUUGGGCCAGCUGCGCCCCUGUGAAAUUCCCUGUUUCUAUUGCAGGCCACAAGGACGAGCUGAGAAAUGGCUUCCAGUCACCAUCUAGAUUAGAAAGCCUAUAUUUCAAAUAUAGAUAUAUCAAUUAUGCCUGUAAAAAGACAUUAAAUCCCACAGGGCUGUAAUUCCUAGACUCUACGAAUUUCAUCUUGCACCAAAUUUUAUUAUUUCAUUUAUAAUUCGGAUUCUUCAAAUCUAAGAGUGCCUGGCUCAAAAUUAAAAUACCUACAACUA
rnacentral:lncRNA from 10 species